rnacentral:tRNA from 2 species
GGUGAGGUGUCCGAGUGGCUGAAGGAGCACGCCUGGAAAGUGUGUAUACGGCAACGUAUCGGGGUUCGAAUCCCCUCACCGCCA